rnacentral:rRNA from 1 species
UGCCAGACUCCUACGGGAGGCAGCAGUGGGGAAUAUUGGACAAUGGGGGGAACCCUGAUCCAGCGACGCCGCGUGAGUGAAGAAGUAUUUCGGUAUGUAAAGCUCUAUCAGCAGGGAAGAAAAUGACGGUACCUGACUAAGAAGCCCCGGCUAACUACGUGCCAGCAGCCGCGGUAAUACGUAGGGGGCAAGCGUUAUCCGGAUUUACUGGGUGUAAAGGGAGCGUAGACGGUGCAGCAAGUCUGAUGUGAAAGGUCGGGGCCCAACCCCGGGACUGCAUUGGAAACUGUGGAACUGGAGUGCUGGAGAGGCAAGCGGAAUUCCUAGUGUAGCGGUGAAAUGCGUAGAUAUUAGGAGGAACACCAGUGGCGAAGGCGGCUUACUGGACUGUAACUGACGUUGAGGCUCGAAAGCGUGGGGAGCAAACAGGAUUAGAUACCCUGGUAUAA